rnacentral:rRNA from 1 species
CGGCAUGCCUAACACAUGCAAGUCGAACGCUAUCUUGUAUAGAGUGGCGCACGGGUGAGUAACGCGUGGGAACCUGCCUUUCUCUGCGGGACAACGGUUGGAAACGACCGCUAAUACCGCAUACGCCCUACGGGGGAAAGGUCAGCCGGAGAAAGAGGGGCCCGCGUUAGAUUAGCUGGUUGGUGGGGUAAUGGCCUACCAAGGCGACGAUCUAUAGCUGGUCUGAGAGGAUGAUCAGCCACACUGGGACUGAGACACGGCCCAGACUCCUACGGGAGGCAGCAGUGGGGAAUAUUGGACAAUGGGGGCAACCCUGAUCCAGCAAUGCCGCGUGUGUGAUGAAGGCCCUAGGGUUGUAAAGCACUUUCACUGGUGAAGAUGAUGACGGUAACCAGAGAAGAAGCCCCGG